rnacentral:rRNA from 1 species
GUGGGGAAUCUUGCGCAAUGGGCGAAAGCCUGACGCAGCCAUGCCGCGUGGAUGAUGAAGGUCUUAGGAUUGUAAAAUCCUUUCACCGGUGAAGAUAAUGACUGUAGCCGGAGAAGAAGCCCCGGCUAACUUCGUGCCAGCAGCCGCGGUAAUACGAAGGGGGCUAGCGUUGCUCGGAUUUACUGGGCGUAAAGGGCGCGUAGGCGGACAUUUAAGUCAGGGGUGAAAUCCCGGGGCUCAACCUCGGAACUGCCUUUGAUACUGGAUGUCUUGAGUGUGAGAGAGGUGUGUGGAAAUCCGAGUGUAGAGGUGAAAUUCGUAGAUAUUCGGAAGAACACCAGUGGCGAAGGCGACACACUGGCUCAUUACUGACGCUGAGGCGCGAAAGCGUGGGGAGCAAAAGGGAUUAGAAACCCCAGUAGUCC